rnacentral:lncRNA from 1 species
AAAAAGGUUGUUGGUAUAUGACCCUCCAAAUCAUGGAGUAAAGUUGAGGUUAGGAAGAGAAAGGUCAGAGAGAGUUCUAACCCUGAUGAUGAUGUCGAAGACAAUGUCCCAAACAUCUCUCCUGCUAAAAGACAGACUGUUAAAAAGUCUCCAGGCAAAGUGGCAGUUGUGCACUUAGACAAUAUCUCUUUUCAUCUAGAAGAUGGAGCUG